GACGAACGCUGGCGGCGUGCUUAACACAUGCAAGUCGAACGGAAAGGCCCUGCUUUUGUGGGUUGCUCGAGUGGCGAACGGGUGAGUAACACGUGAGUAUCCUGCCCUUGACUUUGGGAUAACUUCAGGAAACUGGGGCUAAUACCGGAUAGGAGCUCCUGCUGCAUGGUGGGGGUUGGAAAGUUUCGGCGGUUGGGGAUGGACUCGCGGCUUAUCAGCUUGUUGGUGGGGUAGUGGCUUACCAAGGCUUUGACGGGUAGCCGGCCUGAGAGGGUGACCGGCGACAUUGGGACUGAGAUACGGCCCAGACUCCUACGGGAGGCAGCAGUGGGGAAUAUUGCACAAUGGGCGGAAGCCUGAUGCGGCAACGCCGCGUGCGGGAUGACGGCCUUCGGGUUGUAAACCGCUUUCGCCUGUGACGAAGCGUGAGUGACGGUAAUGGGUAAAGAAGCACCGGCUAACUACGUG
rnacentral:rRNA from 1 species